rnacentral:rRNA from 1 species
CCAAGAAUGUUUCCAUUAAUCAAGAACGAAAGUUAGAGGUUCGAAGGCGAUCAGAUACCGCCCUAGUUCUAACCAUAAACGAUGCCAGCCAGCGAUCCGGCUGUGUUCCUCAAAUGACACGCCGGGCAGCUUCCGGGAAACCAAAGCUUUUGGGUUCCGGGGGAAGUAUGGUUGCAAAGCUGAAACUUAAAGGAAUUGACGGAAGGGCACCACCAGGAUUGGAGCUUGCGGCUUAAUUUGACUCAACACGGGGUAACCUACCUGGCCCGGACACAGGAAGGAUUGACAGAUUAAGAGCUCUUUCUUGAUUCUGUGGGUGGUGGUGCAUGGCCGUUCUUAGUUGGUGGACUGAUUUGUCUGGUUAAUUCCGUUAACGAACGAGACUCUAGCCUACUAAAUAGACGUUCCGAUCAUCUAAUGUCGGACGUUCUUCUUAGAGGGACAAUCGGCGCUUAGCCCGAUGAGACAGAGCAAUAACAGGUCUGUGAUGCCCUUUGAUGUCCGGGGCCGCACGCGUGCUACAUUGAAGGAAUCAGCGUGUGCUUUCCCUGUCCGACAGGACUGGGUAACCCGUUGAACCUCCUUCGUGCUGGGGAUAGGGGCUUGUAAUUGUUCCCCUUGAACGAGGAAUUCCUAGUAAGCGCGAAUCAUAAAUUCGUGUUGACUAGGUCCCUGCCCUUUGUCCACACCGCCCGUCGCUACUACCGAUUGAAUGAUUUAGUGAGGUCUUCGGACUGGCGCUCGGAGCGGCCUUCGGGUCGUGCCGGCGUGCCGGAAAGAUGACCAAACUUGAUCAUUUAGAGGAAGUAAAAGAUCGUAACAAGGUUUCCGUAGGUGACGGG